GUGGGAUAACGAUAUCGGAUAUUGGGCGUAAGCGCGCGCAGGCGGUCCUUUAAGUCUGAUGUGAAAGCCCACGGCUCAACCGGGGAGGGUCAUUGGAAACUGGGGGACUUGAGUGCAGAAGAGGAGAGUGGAAUUCCACGUGUAGCGGUGAAAUGCGUAGAGAUGUGGAGGAACACCAGUGGCGAAGGCGACUCUCUGGUCUGUAACUGACGCUGAGGCGCGAAAGCGUGGGGAGCGAACAGGAUUAGAUACCCUGGUAGUCCACGCCGUAAACGAUGACUGCUAAGUGUUAGAGGGUUUCCGCCCUUUAUUGCUGAACCAAACCCAUUAAUCACUCCCCCGGGGGAUUACGGCCGCAAGGCUGAAACUCAAAGGAAUUGACGGGGGCCCGCACAACCGGGGAACCAGGUGGUUUAAUUCAAACCACCCCGAAAAACCUUACCAGGUCUUGACUUCCUCUGACACCUCUGAAAACAGAGCUUUCCCCUUCGGGGGACAAAGUGACAGGUGGUGCAUGGUUGUCGUCAGCUCGUGUCGUGAGAUGUUGGGUUAAGUCCCGCAACGAGCGCAACCCUUGUCCUUAGUUGCCAGCAUUCAGUUGGGCACUCUAAGAGAGACUGCCGGUGACAAACCGGAGGAAGGUGGGGGAUGACGUCAAAUCAUCAUGCCCCUUAUGACCUGGGCUACACACGUGCUACAAUGGAUAGAACAAAGGGCAGCAAAACCGCGAGGUCAAGCAAAUCCCAUAAAUCUAUUCUCAGUUCGGAUUGCAGGCUGCAACUCGCCUGCAUGAAGCCGGAUCGCUAGUAAUCGCGGAUCAACAUGCCGCGGUGAAUACGUUCCCGGGCCUUGUACACACCGCCCGUCACACCAGGAGAGUUUGUAACACCCGAAGUCGGUGGGG
rnacentral:rRNA from 1 species